AAUUUAUAACCUUUUAAAAAGUCACAACAUGGCAAUUAGAAAACCUUAUGAAUAGUGCUCUAACCAAUUUACCCCUUAAAAAUGUGUAUCUACUUUUUAUCCUUAUUUUAAUUAUUGGAUUAAACAAAAAAAAAAAAUAUUGGAUUAUCUCCUUGAGGCGAUCUGACUUUUUAACCCUUUUGCUUUUCCCAGUUCUUCUUCCUGCCAGGCCAGAAGCCAGCUGCCACAUAUCUUUAUCUCCUCUCAAGAAUCACCCUCCUCUCUCAUCUCUCUUCAUCUCCACCAACGUCGCAUCGAAAGGCAUGCCAAGAUCCUUAUCUCUAACACCUUGUAAUCGGAAGGCAUGCAAGCAAAUGCCAAGGGCACAAACUGAAGAAAAUCAGGAAGAAGGUAAAGAGUAGCUCCUCUGAUAAUAUUUCAUUUCUUGAAUCGUGCAAUUUACUGGAAUUUUGAGGAUUUAUGUCGACAUGGGAGACAACGAUGCGUUCUUGUGCAACCUGAAUUCCGCCGUUAUGGGUCGCACCAACCACUAAAGUGAAUCGCGCAUUGCUCUUCAGCUUAAGAUGAUAUCAAUUGCACCUUAUUGAGUUCUGAGAUGGGAGUGCUGAGAUAAUGAGAUGGCUAAAAGAUAAUUCAAAUACGAGAACCCUUGUGGUUUGUUAUAGUUUCUUUUUUUUGUGCCCUUUCAAACUUUGAAUUUUUAUUGUAAUUUGAAUGUUUAAUUAUCAAAUUUUGUGGUAUAUGCAUUAGGGUUUGUUUCUAAUUAUGAAUCUUGGAAGUAAAUGGUUCUAAUUGAUGAUUUGAAUUUCUGGUAAA